rnacentral:rRNA from 1 species
AUGCACGCUGGCGGCGUGCCUCAUACAUGCAAGUCGAGCGAACAGACGAGGAGCUUGCUCCUCUGACGUUAGCGGCGGACGGGUGAGUAACACGUGGAUAACCUACCUAUAAGACUGGGAUAACUUCGGGAAACCGGAGCUAAUACCGGAUAAUAUAUUGAACCGCAUGGUUCAAUAGUGAAAGACGGUUUUGCUGUCACUUAUAGAUGGAUCCGCGCCGCAUUAGCUAGUUGGUAAGGUAACGGCUUACCAAGGCAACGAUGCGUAGCCGACCUGAGAGGGUGAUCGGCCCCACUGGAACUGGGACACGGCCCAGACUCCUACGGGAGGCAGCAGUAGGGAAUCUUCCGAAAUGGGCGAAAGCCUGACGGAGCAACGCCGCGUGAGUGAUGAAGGUCUUCGGAUCGUAAAACUCUGUUAUUAGGGAAGAACAAAUGUGUAAGUAACUAUGCACGUCUUGACGGUACCUAAUCAGAAAGCCACGGCUAACUACGU